UCCCUCCGUUUUCCAUGUGAAUAAAACCUCUUUAAUUAACAUAGAAGAACAGUGAGAGACGACUGUAGAGUUGUGUGUUGCUAAGGUGCUACACACCUCCAUGUAACUCAUUAUCACUCUGUCGUGUGUGUGUGUGGUGUGUGUGUUCACAGCUGCUGGAGCUGACAGAGAACUACACACCAGAGGUGUCGGAGUAUAAAGAGGGGAAAAUCAUUCAUUUUGACCACAGCACCAAACAGAUUGAGCUCGAACUGCUCUCUACUUAUCAAGCGCCAGUGGAGCCGGGGAAGUUUGACCUGGUGUAUCAGAACGCGGACGGAUCCGAGAGUGUGGAGUACGCUGUGUCCCGGGGCUCCAGGGUAAGACAUAAAAUACUG